rnacentral:rRNA from 1 species
GGUUUCGUAGGUGAACCUGCGGAAGGAUCAUUA